rnacentral:rRNA from 16 species
AAGAGGACCUUUCCCUAGUACGAGAGGACCGGGAAGGACGCACCUCUGGUGUACCAGUUAUCGUGCCUACGGUAAACGCUGGGUAGCCAAGUGCGGAGAGGAUAACUGCUGAAAGCAUAUAAGUAGUAAGCCCACCCCAAGA